GGCCCUGGGGGGGGGCCCUCAGCCCCCCUGGCGCUGGCCUCGCGUCCCAGCAGGUCUGGCGGCGUGAAACGGGCCAGCGGCGCCCGCCCUAGGGCCCAGGGCCUGUGUGUGCUGCCCCGUAGCCCAGCCCCUGGCCUGGCAGUUCCGCGUUGUGCCCCGGCGGAUGGACUGCACAGCCAGAGGACCUCAAAGGCCUCGCCACACGGAUAUACACAUGAAUUAUUCCACCAACCACCGAAACGCUGAACCCUCCUCCAGAGUAGAUCUCCGCCAAUACAGAAUAGCCCGCCCGCCCGCAACAGCUAAGCCCAGGAAGUAAAAAACAACAUACACAAAUGGAAGUGGCAAGAGGCAGAAUAUUGCAGUGGUCCCCAACUUAAAUACUGGGGCAGAGUUUGUGAAAAUUGGUCCCAACGUGCUGUUCAGAAGAAGAUAGAGCAUUGCGAGGUGGAAUCUGUAGUUCCUGUGGGCUGCAGCUCAACAUUAAAGAUGUCUGUGCAUCACACUUCAGUUACCCAGAUGAAUUUAAGCCCGUAACAUCUGUCUAAGUGUGAGAUCCAGCCACAGCAAAUUCUACUGGACAAUGUGAUCCGUUUGAAAUCUUCAGCAGGAUAUUUCCAACAGGAGUCUGGCUUAGCCGCCAAGACAACUCCAUCUUCUGCAACACUGCUGCAAGCCCUUCACCAGAAAGACGGCUAAAAGCUGCCCCUUACACAGCCCACUGCUGGGCCAAGUUUGCCAGAUCACAGACCGUGUGCUUGGCCUGUGUCUCUCCGGCGAGCCUCCUGUUAAAGCUGGAGAUGGUUCCUAUUCGCAGCCUGUGGGGAAAAACUAUCUUCAGGAGACGGAUUCAGAAACUAGAUACCUGUGUCAUGCUGGGCUAUGAAGAGACGUCCCCUUCCCCGCUCUGUGCUGCUGCUGCUUUGCUUUCUGGAUUUCAAGGUUUUGAUUAACAGCAACCAUUGAAACUUCUCCUUGUUCCGCUCUCGGCAGUGUACUGCUGCAGUCUCAGAUGCCACAGUUCCUGAGAGGAGUCUGGACUCUGCUGCUGUCUCCACUCGGCACAGGCGAUCGUGGGAUGCGCUGGCCACAGCCUGUGCCACCAGCCCGUCACCCCGUCAUAUUCCUGCCUCUGGCCGGGAACAGUGUGUGGAGGCUGAGGAGCUGGCAGAAGAGGACCAUGUUAGCGGCACAGGAAAGAACUCCCGGCCGUAGGGCGGGCUGGGUAGGAAGAGGUGGGGAUAACAGACGUUAUAGCAGAUGCGGGUACCUGAGCUGGGUUCCUCCACAGGAGGACAGAGACUUUUCCUGGCCUUUAUUUUCAGGCGUUGAACUCCCAAUGGCUGGAGAUGGUGUAGCUGCUGAUGUGACAGAAAUGGGGCUGCUCGGUACUAAUCUAUGAACAGCAUAGGGGACCUGGUUAGCAGGGCAUUCAGUGUAUGACUACAGGGGUGAAAUCAACAGGGCUAUGGAGCAAAAAACAGGACAGCAAAACAACGACUCAAGACAAAGCACCUCCCUUGAAACGCGUCCGGGUGUUUAAGAGACAACACCUGAGCUGUUACCUGGGAAGUUCCUAUGAGCUGCGCGCCAGCCACGUUACACACUUGUUUUCCCAGUGUUGGCAGCCAACAGCCGGAAAGGACCAUAAACCAUUAAAAAGCCUCUCUCUGUCUAGAGGUGAGAGAGGGCGUUGGGGAGCUGUUUCUGAGAACAGGCUGACACACAGACACGGCUGGAGGUGUCUGGAGAAGCUAGGCCUCCCUACAGUGGCGGAUUAACAAAUUUGCCACCCUAGGACCUCAAAAAAUUCCCGUCCCCCCGCGCCAGCUCACCUCCGCUCCCCCACUGCAAGCCUGGGAGGGAUGGGGGAGAAGGGGAGUUGUGGUGCGCUUAGGGGAUGGCGGAGGUGGAGUGAUGGGGAGCUGGGGCAGGGAGCGGUUCCCUGCCCCCACCCCCGAAGAGUUACUCCCCGUGCCCGCCGGCCCCAGGCCACCUCCGCUAUCCCCCGGGUGCGCCACUACUCGCUUCUCCCUCCCUCCCUCCCUGCGCUUUCGCGCAGCAAGCCUGGGAGGGAGGUGGAAGGAGGGAAGCGCGGCGCGCCUGGGGGAGGAAGCAGGCCGGGGAUUUGGGGAAGGGGUGUGAGCAAAUUUGCUGCCCUAGGUGUAGGCCUUGUUGGCCUAGGCGAUAAUACGCCGCUGCCUCCCUAGGCUCCCAUGACAGGGCAGCAGGACUUUUGGGAAGGGGGACCUGCGCACAGACUGCUUUAAAAUCCUUUUUCUCUUGUGCUUUGUUCCUGCUGUUCGGAUUAAACAACAGUUUGGUGUAAGCAGCUGCCGGGUUCCGGUGUUCACUGCUGGCCACAGACUCCUGCAGGGAGGAACCGCAGGGACCGGGCCCCGCUGGAUACACAGGGUGCAGUAGCCCAAGGCCCAACCCGAGUGGGAGAAGGGCAAGACUCCACCCCAGGAGAGAUGAAGGCACGAGGGGUGCACUCAGAGAUACAAUUAGUCCUGCAACCUUGACAGCUGGGUUACAGCACUCCCUGGUAACCACGGGGUUAAACUCUGCUUCCCCCUCCCCUUGCACGGGAUUCAGGGAAGGGCUGUAGGAGCAGCUUGGGAGAUGGGGGGGGAGGGGUGGUCAGGCCCUGCCCUCCAUGGUCACAGGCAUGGGGUGAAUCCCUGGAGGGCAGGGCCAAGGGCGCCAAUUAGGUAGGACAGAGGGGGUCUCCCCCCAAGUUUCACCCAGGAGGGGGGCUCCCUGGUGGAGCUCUUAAGGCUCAGUGUGAAUGUGGAAUGUGAGUUCUGCAGAGAGCUGGUUCCCCAGGCUUGUGUUCCUGGGGCAGGGAGUUCAGUGUUUUGUUUACAAACAGAGGCAGGAUGAUUACGAUCAGAAAAGGCUGGUAAUUAAACUAAGGAUCUGGAAGUCCUUAGAUGAACCUGUAAAGUGUGUGGGGUGUGUGCGUGUGCAGGGGACUCCAAAGAAAUACAGCCAAGCCCUCUGAGCCCAGGCUACACCCAGGAAAGAGGAAGAUGUGAGGGGCGUAAGUUAAAAGUAGGGACCAAUGCUCAGGGAAGGGACAGCAGUGGGAUAGAUUUCAGAGUAGCAGCCGGGUUAGUCUGUAUCCGCAGAAAGAACAGGAGUCCUUGUGGCACCUUAGAGACUAACACAUUUAUUUGAGCAUAAGUGUCGUAUGAGUAUCCAAUGUGAUUAUACAUCAAAUUCUUAGGCUUUCAGCUGUACUCAGGCCAAUUCCAGAACAAAGAAUAGAAACUGCACCCACAGAGUCCAUAAAGUCGACAAUUAUUGUUAUGAUUUGUAUUAUUCACUGGGCACGAUCUGUGUGCUCAGCACUGUUCAGAAUAUACCAGAAAAUCCAGUCCUUGAGCCAAUGCAUCUAAGCUGUGUAACCCUGGAUAAGAUGGCUCAGAUAUUGAAGUAUGAAGUGUACCGUUAUUGACCAUAUAUUAUCACAUGGUCACUGUGAUGCUAAUAUCUCUGGGCGGAGGCACGGAGGGCAAUACAAUUUUACUGGAUCAAG